rnacentral:rRNA from 1 species
AACUUUCGGCAACGGAUCUCUUGGUUCCCGCAUCGAUGAAGAACGCAGCGAAAUGCGAUACGUAAUGUGAAUUGCAGAACUCAGUGAAUCAUCGAAUCUUUGAACGCACCUUGCACUCUUUGGUAUUCCGAAGAGUAUGUCUGUUUGAGUGUCAU